AGGAUUAACGCUGGCGGCGUGCCUGACACAUGCAAGUCGAACGAGGCCGCAAGGCCUAGUGGCGGACGGGUGAGUAAGGCAUCGGAAUCUGCCCUGAUGUGGGGGAUAACGUAGGGAAACUUACGCUAAUACCGCAUACGACCGAGAGGUGAAAGCGGGGGACCGAAAGGCCUCGCGCAGCAGGAUGAGCCGAUGUCCGAUUAGCUGGUUGGUGGGGUAACGGCCCACCAAGGCGACGAUCGGUAGCUGGUCUGAGAGGAUGAUCAGCCACACUGGGACUGAGACGCGGCCCAGACUCCUACGGGAGGCAGC
rnacentral:rRNA from 1 species